rnacentral:rRNA from 1 species
GCCUACGGGGCGCAGCAGUGAGGAAUAUUGGUCAAUGGGCUUACGCCUGAACCAGCCAAGUCGCGUGAGGGAAGACUGCCCUAUGGGUUGUAAACCUCUUUUGUCAGGGAGCAACGCCGGCUACGUGUAGCCGGACUGAGAGUACCUGAAGAAAAAGCAUCGGCUAACUCCGUGCCAGCAGCCGCGGUAAUACGGAGGAUGCGAGCGUUAUCCGGAUUUAUUGGGUUUAAAGGGUGCGUAGGCGGAAUGCCAAGUCAGCGGUAAAAUCGCGGGGCUCAACCUUGCUCCGCCGUUGAAACUGGCGU